GACGAACGCUGGCGGCGUGCUUAACACAUGCAAGUCGAACGGUGAAGGGGUCUGCUUUUGUGGGCCCUGGAUGAGUGGCGAACGGGUGAGGAACACGUGAGUAACCUGUCCUCUUCUUCUGGAUAACCGCAUGAAAGUGUGGCUAAUACGGGAUAUUCUGGGUCUGUCGCAUGAUGGGUCUGGGAAAGAUUGCGCCUUUGGGUGUUUUUGGUGGGGGAUGGGCUCGCGGCCUAUCAGCUUGGUGGUGGGGUGAUGGCCUACCAAGGCGGGGACGGGUAGCCGGCCUGGGAGGGUGGACGGUCACACUGGGACUGAGACACGGCCCAGACUCCUACGGGAGGCAGCAGUGGGGAAUAUUGCACAGUGGGCGCGAGCCUGAUGCAGCGACGCCGCGUGAGGGAUGGCGGCCUUCGGGUUGUAAACCUCUUUCGCCAGUGAAGCAGGCCUGCUCCUUGUGGGUGGGUUGACGGUAGCUGGAGAAGAAGCGCCGGCUAACUACGUG
rnacentral:rRNA from 1 species